GGCGAACGGGUGAGUAACGCGUUGGUGACUGCCCCAAAGCGGGGGACAACAGCUCGAAAAGGGCUGCUAAUACCCCAUACAGUUGUGAGAGAUUAGAAAACUUACAACGAAAGGAGAAAUCCACUUUGGGAGGGGCCUGCGUCCCAUCAGCUAGUUGGUAGGGUAAAGGCCUACCAAGGCGUAGACGGGUAGGGGACCUGAGAGGGUGGCCCCCCACAAUGGAACUGAAACACGGUCCAUACACCUACGGGUGGCAGCAGUAGGGAAUAUUGCACCAUGGGCGAAAGCCUGAUGCAGCAACGCCGCGUGAGUGAAGAAGGCCUUCGGGUCGUAAAACUCUUUUCAAGGGAAAGAGGAAGGACGGUACCCUUGGAAUAAGCAUCGGCUAACUACGUGCCAGCAGCCGCGGUAACACGUAGGAUGCAAGCGUUAUUCGGAUUUACUGGGCGUAAAGCGCGUGUAGGCGGUUAGGAGAGUUGGAUGUGAAAGCUCCCGGCUUAACUGGGAGAGGUCGUUCAAAACUUCCUGACUAGAGUUUGGUAGAGGAAAAUGGAAUUCCGGGUGUAGUGGUGAAAUGCGUAGAUAUCCGGAGGAACGCUGGUGGCGAAAGCGAUUUUCUGGACCGAUACUGACGCUCGGACGCGAAAGCUAGGGUAGCAAACGGGAUUAGAGACCCCGGUAGUCCUAGC
rnacentral:rRNA from 1 species